CAGUAUAGAAAACCUAUUAGCAGUAAUUCUUUUCGUGAAUAUAUGUCAUUUAAAAUGAAGACUUCAAGUGAAAUGACAGCGUGGGGAGAAAUGUGAAAA